rnacentral:rRNA from 1 species
GACGAACGCUGGCGGCGUGCUUAACACAUGCAAGUCGAACGGAAAGGCCCUGCUUUUGUGGGGUGCUCGAGUGGCGAACGGGUGAGUAACACGUGAGUAACCUGCCCUUGACUUUGGGAUAACUUCGGGAAACUGGGGCUAAUACCGGAUAGGAGCUCCUGCUGCAUGGUGGGGGUUGGAAAGUUUCGGCGGUUGGGGAUGGACUCGCGGCUUAUCAGCUUGUUGGUGGGGUAGUGGCUUACCAAGGCUUUGACGGGUAGCCGGCCUGAGAGGGUGACCGGCCACAUUGGGACUGAGAUACGGCCCAGACUCCUACGGGAGGCAGCAGUGGGGAAUAUUGCACAAUGGGCGGAAGCCUGAUGCAGCAACGCCGCGUGCGGGAUGACGGCCUUCGGGUUGUAAACCGCUUUCGCCUGUGACGAAGCGUAAGUGACGGUAAUGGGUAAAGAAGCACCGGCUAACUACGUG